rnacentral:misc_RNA from 1 species
CGCCCCUCUUUCCACCUUUCAUGCCUCGCCCUCCCUCCUCUACCAGAUGCAAAGGGAUCUGAGUGCUCUGUGCAUGCCCUCUCCCUUUCUCGGCUGAGUGUUCUCUGGCUUCAAACGCUGCCCACAGUCACCUCAUCGCUACACUCUCUUGUUCAUCUCAAGCUUCUCCGUGUCCUCUCUUCGACUCUGCGGAAGGAUGCCUGUUGUGAAGGGCCCUGCAGAUUCCUUGAGGAUGGAAGGCUUGUGCUAUACUUCCUCUGUUGACAGCGCUGGAUAUGACGGGCACGACAACGCAGCAGCAGCAGCAGCGGAAGUCUCGCAGUGCAUCAGCUGUGACAGGAAGGCAUUCGGCUCAGACGCUUUUUCCGCCUCUGUCGUGCUUUUCGCCCCCUCCCCUCUCUCCCUCCCUCAUGUGCUGCAGAGUCUGUGCCUUUUUUUGUCUUGGAAGCUUGGACAGGAAUGAAGGAGAGAUGACCGGAAAACGGAUAUGAUGAUGAGAUGUGAGCGGGCAUGCUCUCCGCCGCUCCAACGGCACGCAUCGCCAGCCAUGCGUCUUCUGCUUACCGCAUUUUGUUCUUCUACUCCUUUCAUGCCUCGAGGGAUCGGCCCAUCGCACGCUUUGGAUUCUCCCCCGCCAACCCCUUUGAUUGCCCACCAUGGCAGGGAUCGUUGGGUGACGGAAAAGGCGGAUGCCUAGGUCUACUUACUCGCGGGUAGUCUUGCCCGAUGGUGCCUUGAAGGCAACGGAAGGCUCACGGAGUGCUCUGCCAGCGUUAGCGGUAUGGAGAGCGCGAGCGGAGGGAUACGGUGUCGGUAUAGUGCUCCAGGGAGAUAGGAAACUCGCCAGUUGGGAUCAGUUGGGCGCAUGCAUCGGAAUACAUCGUGCUUAUAUCUUAGCACCAUCCUCUCUCCUCCUCCUAUCCGUACGCGUGUACAGUGAGCAAGCAUCCCCCCGCACGCAUGCAGGUCGCUGGCCCGCACGACCAACUCGUUGAACGACCCUUGUGUGCGCGACUGGCUCUCUCUCUUCGUGAAACUUGUUGAGGGAGCAAAGCAGGGAAAAAUGCGAAAACAUCUGGUCUCUUUCUCUGCCUCCUGCCCUGCACAUGGCUCUCCUCCGCUUCUUCCACUUCUUUUUCGCUGUGUGUUCGAAUGCGUGUCUCCGAAACCGACCGGAUGAUUCGAUGCAGCGGUAACGGAAAUGAGACGCGUUGUUUUGUUCAGCACAGACGCGGCGUGCGAGGUUGCGUGAAGCUGUGCGUGCAUCGCAGAGGCGCACUGCGCGAGGAGGCUGAUCUGUCGUACGCUCGCUGAGCUCUACUAGCGCCCCUCUCCUUUCCGCCUCUCUUAAUUUCUGUAGCGCACACCUAUACAUGUUCUUUCUUUUUCCUUCGCUGCGCGGGGGCCCAUCUCGGUUUCCGCCACCGUACCCGCUACCACUUCUUGAGUCACCCACCUCCUCACCUCCCUGCUUCCUCCUCCUCCACGGCGCAUGUGUCGUCUGUCUGGCAACCCCCUCUCAACCCUUUUCUUCAG